GAGUGUUAUGAUGUUGGAAAGCUUUAUUUCCGAGUCUAGCUCAGUGCUACUUCUUGAUUU
rnacentral:ncRNA from 1 species